rnacentral:rRNA from 1 species
GGACUACCCGGGUAUCUAAUCCUGUUUGCUCCCCGCACUUUCGCGCCUCAGCGUCAGUCUCAGGCUGGAAGUUCGCCUUCGCCACCGGUGUUCUUCCUGAUAUCUACAGAUUUCACCCCUACACCAGGAAUUCCAACUCCCCCUCCUAAACUCUAGUUACACAGUUUCCAACGCAGUUCCCAAGUUAAGCUUAGGUAUUUCACGUCAGACUUGCAUAACCGCCUACGCGCCCUUUACGCCCAAUAAUUCCGAACAACGCUCGCCCCUUACGUGUUACCGCGGCGGCUGGCAC